CAGUCGCCACGGUAAUACGUAGGGUGCAAGCGUUAAUCGGAAUUACUGGGCGUAAAGCGUGCGCAGGCGGUUAUAUAAGACAGAUGUGAAAUCCCCGGGCUCAACCUGGGAACUGCAUUUGUGACUGUAUAGCUAGAGUACGGCAGAGGGGGAUGGAAUUCCGCGUGUAGCAGUGAAAUGCGUAGAUAUGCGGAGGAACACCGAUGGCGAAGGCAAUCCCCUGGGCCUGUACUGACGCUCAUGCACGAAAGCGUGGGGAGCAAACAGGAUUAGAUACCCGAGUAGUCCCUGUCUCUUAUAC
rnacentral:rRNA from 1 species